GUGUUUUCUCCUUAUUAAACUCUUAUAAAAGUGUGAUGUUUACCUCCUCCGAUCGCUAAAUAAGCUGCGAUGAUGGAGUGUUAGUUUUCCCGAAUUAUUGUAAAGGUGUAUCAUUAGUUUUUGUAUAGAAAGAUCCCCGACCUUGACAUGUCUGGCUACCGGCUAUUUAAAGAAUAUUCUCAGGACAUUUGAUAAACUGAAAAAUUACAUAGGAAAAAAGAUCUUACGAAACAAAACAUUCACCACAUCACCAGCCGGAUGACCGCGAAUCGCAAUAGCCGACAUUUUUAAAAAUCUCGCGGGUCUGCUCUCAGUAUCAUCGCAAAACUAAAAACCGUAGUCUGAAAUAACAUGCGGGGCAACAAAUGCAGGCGAUCUCCAUGCCUGCUGAAUAAAAGUGGAGUGGAAAUGUUGAAAAUCAAAAAAUCAAAAGCAGGGGUAGUAUAAAAGUUUCGCAGCAUCAUUUUCUCAGCAUUAUAGAAUGAACAGCACAACCUUGGUAUUCUCUUAGAAUCCGAUUUAACUGGAAAUCUAAGAUUGAUGCCAUUGCACUCAAAUUUAAGAGGGCCAAUGGAGCUAUCCUCGCAGCAAAUUCCACGUCAUCAAAUUUGUCUGGAAGUCUACCAUUUUGAUCUUGGGGCGACAUACACAAAACAGCCACUGCGCUAGUAGGUGAACAUGGUUAAAAGCUGUUGUGUUUAUGACUGCUUAGCAAAUCUUAGAGUAAUCCAACGUUGAAAUUUUAUAUACUGCCUGCUAAUGAAAAACGAAGAAAAUUAUGGUAAAGGCUAUUAGAAGAAAAGAAGAUUCUUCAAAAGAUAAGUUGUGGUCACCGAAAUCAAAGCACGUUUACGUUUGUUCCAGACAUUUUGUGACUGGACAGAAGGAAAAUUUUGAAAAACAUGUGGACUAAGUGCCUUCAAUUAACAUGUAAAGGUAUAUCAAAGUCACCUCACAGACAAAACCAGAAGUUUGGACGGCUGGAGAGAAGACUGAAAAUACUACAAAAUUCUUAAAUUCGACCUUUAAAUAAGAAGUUAUGUAUGAAAGUUCAAGUUCAAAAACCUGCUGAAGCUAGUUGCAGUAACCCUUCUGGUAAAAGUUGUACCAAAGAAGAGCUAUACAACCAAAUUUAACCAUUAUUAAAUUGUGACAUAACUUGAGUUUUGAGCUGCUUGCUUUAAUUUGCAGUCUUGAAGCAAACUGCGAUUAACCACUUCUGGAAGUGGAUCGAUAUUAUGUAUCAAAAACUGAAGUUUCUCAUAAGAAUGCAAGACAAAGACCACAUCUUCAAAACAAUUCCACCUGUUUUAAAAGCCAAAUUCCCUAGGCUAACUUUCAUAAUUGAUUGUUUUGAGGUAUUUGUGGAAUCUCCACAAUCUUUGAUGGCACAUGCUCAGAUGUAUAGUCAAUAUAAAAAGCAUUGUACUAUAAAAGUUUUAAUUUCGUGCACUCCAGUUGGCGCAAUAAAUUUUGUAUAACAAUUUUGGGGAGGCAGAGCAAGUGAUAUUCAAAUUGUAAGACAGUCUGGAUUUCAUCUUUCAAAAUACCAUAUGCCUGGGGAUCAAAUUUUAGCAGAUUGCGGUUUUACCCUUCAAGAUGAUUUUGCUGCUGGUAGUGGCUCAGAACUAAUUAUUCCAUUUUUGCAAAGGAAAAGUCACAAAUAUCAAGUAUAAGACUCAAAAAAAUUGCAUCAGUUCGCAUUCAUAUUUAGGGUCAUAGGUUUGUUAAAAAAUAAAUACACCAUUUUAAAAGGUAUUAUACCAUUGCGUACCAUAAAAAGCAUAAAAGAUGAAGCAUCCUCUGAUAAUCUUACAAACUGUGAUAAAAUUGUGACUGUUUGUUCAGCUCAGAAAGUAUUGUAUACAAAAAACUAAAGUAAGUUGUAAAGGAUCGUCUCCAUGAUCGUUUCAAAUUUGAUCAUUUCAA